UCAAGGAAUUGACGGGGCCGCACAAGCGGUGGAGUAUGUGGUUUAAUUCGAUGCAACGCGAAGAACCUUACCUGGUCUUGACAUCCCGGAGACCCUUAGGAAACUAGGGGGUGCUUCCAUCUGGAAGAAUCUGGAGACAGGUGCUGCAUGGCUGUCGUCAGCUCGUGUCGUGAGAUGUUGGGUUAAGUCCCGCAACGAGCGCAACCCUUGCCUUUAGUUGCCAGCAGUUCGGCUGGGCACUCUAAAGGGACUGCCGGUGUUAAACCGGAGGAAGGUGGGGAUGACGUCAAGUCCUCAUGGCCUUUAUGACCAGGGCUACACACGUACUACAAUGGCCGAUACAAAGGGCAGCGACACUGCGAGGUGAAGCCAAUCCCGUAAAAUCGGUCUCAGUCCGGAUUGGAGUCUGCAACUCGACUCCAUGAAGUUGGAAUCGCUAGUAAUCGUGGAUCAGCAUGCCACGGUGAAUACGUUCCGGCCUU
rnacentral:rRNA from 1 species